rnacentral:rRNA from 1 species
AUUGAACGCUGGCGGCAGGCCUAACACAUGCAAGUCGAGCGGAUGAAGGGAGCUUGCUCCUGGAGUCAGAGGCGGACGGGGGAGUGAUGCCUAGGAAUCUGCCUCGUAGUGGGGGAUAACGUCCGGAAACGGGCGCUAAUACCGCAUACGUUCUGAGGGAGCAAGUGGGGGAUCUUCGGACCUCACGCUAUCAGAUGAGCCUAGGUCGGAUUAGCUAGUUGGUGGGGUAAAGGCCUACCAAGGCGACGAUCCGUAACUGGUCUGAGAGGAUGAUAAGUCGCCCUUGAACUGAGACACCGUCACGGCUCCUAAGGGACGCACCAGUCGGCAAUAUUGGGCAAUAGGCGAAAACCUGGUCCAGCCAGGCCGCGUGUGUGAAGAAGGUCUUCGGAGUGUAAAGCACGUUAAGUUGUGAGGAACGGCAGUAAGUUAAUACCUUGCUGUAUUGACGUUACCAACAGAAUAAGCACCGGCUAACUUCGUG